UAACACAUGCAAGUCGAGGGGCAGCAUUUUAUUUUGCUUGCAAACUGAAGAUGGCGACCGGCGCACGGGUGAGUAACACGUAUCCAACCUGCCGAUAACUCCGGAAUAGCCUUUCGAAAGAAAGAUUAAUACCGGAUAGCAUACGAAUAUCGCAUGAUAUUUUUAUUAAAGAAUUUCGGUUAUCGAUGGGGAUGCGUUCCAUUAGUUUGUUGGCGGGGUAACGGCCCACCAAGACAACGAUGGAUAGGGGUUCUGAGAGGAAGGUCCCCCACAUUGGAACUGAGACACGGUCCAAACUCCUACGGGAGGCAGCAGUGAGGAAUAUUGGUCAAUGGGCGAGAGCCUGAACCAGCCAAGUAGCGUGAAGGAUGAAGGCUCUAUGGGUCGUAAACUUCUUUUAUAUGGGAAUAAAGUUUUCCACGUGUGGAAUUUUGUAUGUACCAUAUGAAUAAGGAUCGGCUAACUCCGUGCCAGCAGCCGCGGUAAUACGGAGGAUCCGAGCGUUAUCCGGAUUUAUUGGGUUUAAAGGGAGCGUAGGUGGAUUGUUAAGUCAGUUGUGAAAGUUUGCGGCUCAACCGUAAAAUUGCAGUUGAAACUGGCAGUCUUGAGUACAGUAGAGGUGGGCGGAAUUCGUGGUGUAGCGGUGAAAUGCUUAGAUAUCACGAAGAACUCCGAUUGCGAAGGCAGCUCACUAGACUGUCACUGACACUGAUGCUCGAAAGUGUGGGUAUCAAACAGGAUUAGAUACCCUGGUAGUCCACACAGUAAACGAUGAAUACUCGCUGUUUGCGAUAUACAGUAAGCGGCCAAGCGAAAGCAUUAAGUAUUCCACCUGGGGAGUACGCCGGCAACGGUGAAACUCAAAGGAAUUGACGGGGGCCCGCACAAGCGGAGGAACAUGUGGUUUAAUUCGAUGAUACGCGAGGAACCUUACCCGGGCUUAAAUUGCAACAGAAUAUAUUGGAAACAGUAUAGCCGUAAGGCUGUUGUGAAGGUGCUGCAUGGUUGUCGUCAGCUCGUGCCGUGAGGUGUCGGCUUAAGUGCCAUAACGAGCGCAACCCUUAUCUUUAGUUACUAACAGGUGAUGCUGAGGACUCUAGAGAGACUGCCGUCGUAAGAUGUGAGGAAGGUGGGGAUGACGUCAAAUCAGCACGGCCCUUACGUCCGGGGCUACACACGUGUUACAAUGGGGGGUACAGAAGGCGGCUACCUGGUGACAGGAUGCUAAUCCCAAAAACCUCUCUCAGUUCGGAUCGAAGUCUGCAACCCGACUUCGUGAAGCUGGAUUCGCUAGUAAUCGCGCAUCAGCCAUGGCGCGGUGAAUACGUUCCCGGGCCUUGUACACACCGCCCGUCAAGCCAUGAAAGCCGGGGGUACCUGAAGUACGUAACCGCAAGGAGCGUCCUAGGGUAAAACUGGUAAUUGGG
rnacentral:rRNA from 1 species